rnacentral:rRNA from 1 species
UACGUAGGGGGCUAGCGUUGUCCGGAUUUAUUGGGCGUAAAGAGCGUGUAGGCGGCCAUGUAGGUCCGGUGUGAAAACUCGAGGCUUAACCUCGAGAUGUCAUCGGAAACCAUUUGGCUAGAGUCCGGAAGAGGAGAGUGGAAUUCCUGGUGUAGCGGUGAAAUGCGCAGAUAUCAGGAAGAACACCAAUGGCGAAAGCAGCUCUCUGGGACGGUACUGACGCUGAGGCGCGAAAGCGUGGGGAGCGAACAGG